AUGAACGCUGGCGGCGUGCCUAAUACAUGCAAGUCGAGCGAACGGACGAGAAGCUUGCUUCUCUGAUGUUAGCGGCGGACGGGUGAGUAACACGUGGAUAACCUACCUAUAAGACUGGGAUAACCUCGGGAAACCGGAGCUAAUACCGGAUAAUAUUUUGAACCGCAUGGUUCAAAAGUGAAAGACGGUCUUGCUGUCACUUAUAGAUGGAUCCGCGCUGCAUUAGCUAGUUGGUAAGGUAACGGCUUACCAAGGCAACGAUGCAUAGCCGACCUGAGAGGGUGAUCGGCCACACUGGAACUGAGACACGGUCCAGACUCCUACGGGAGGCAGCAGUAGGGAAUCUUCCGCAAUGGGCGAAAGCCUGACGGAGCAACGCCGCGUGAGCGAUGAAGGUCUUCGGAUCGUAAAACUCUGUUAUUAGGGAAGAACAUAUGUGUAAGUAACUGUGCACAUCUUGACGGUACCUAAUCAGAAAGCCACGGCUAACUACGUG
rnacentral:rRNA from 1 species